rnacentral:sRNA from 1 species
GGCUUGUAAGGUCAGUUGGUAGAGCAACGGACGGAA